rnacentral:lncRNA from 1 species
GACACUGAGGUCUCAGACAUGGAGACGGAGAAGGACUCUUGUUUGAGACGUCCAUCCUCAGGUGAUUUUAACAUUUAAGUCUUUCUUCUGGGUGAUUGUCCUGCACAACACAUGUCUUUAUGGAGAGGUGUGAACGGAGACCCACUUUGUUACUAGAAUAUGUUCAAAGACCAUUAAGACAACUUUAGUGAGUUAAUAACUGUCUGAUUUGUUAAAGAAUCCUCAGGAGGAAAAAGAAAGACGCCUUCCUCUGAGUGUGGUGAGGACACCCUGCCCUCAGCAUCCUCUACACCAAGAAGGCCACACCAUGUCGAGUCAGACUGUGAUGAUGCUGAAGCAGGACCCUCUGAAGCAAAGAGACAAACUGUGACAUCUAUCACGGAUGACUCUGAAGAAGGAACCCAAAGAUACAACCGAGCACAGCUAGAUGAAUCCUCUGUUACAGAAAGCUCAAAGAGGAGGAGUUGGACACCAUUAGAAGUGCGUGCAGUGGAAAAGACUCUAAAGCUGUUCCUAGAUUCGGGCAAAGUUCCUGGGAAAGCAGACUGUGUGGAUUGCAUCAAGGCCUCACCACAAGAGUUAAAGACAAGAACCUGGAAGGCUGUUAAGUACUACAUUAAAAAUCGAAUCACAGCAGUUCAGCGGGAAAGUGCAAAGAUUUUAUCAGGCUUUUAUUUUGAGUACCUCCUCUACACUGGCGCUGAAGCUUUUGUUUUUAUUUUGUGAAGUCAGUACUUCCUCUACAGGGGAGCUGAAGCUUUUAUUUUUAAUUUGGAAAGUCGUUACGUCCUCUAGGGUGGCGGCAAAGCUUUUAUUUUAUUUGGGAAUGUUGGUAAAUCCUCUACGGUGGCGCUGAAGCUUUUAUUGUUUUGUUUUGGAAAGUGAGUACGUCCUCUACGGUGGUACUGAAGCUUUUAUUUUCAUUUUGGAAAAUCAGUAUGUCCUCUACCAUG